rnacentral:rRNA from 1 species
UACGGGGGGGGCAAGCGUUGUUCGGAAUUACUGGGCGUAAAGGGCUCGUAGGCGGCCAACUAAGUCAGACGUGAAAUCCCUCGGCUUAACCGGGGAACUGCAUCUGAUACUGGAUGGCUUGAGUUCGGGAGAGGGAUGCGGAAUUCCAGGUGUAGCGGUGAAAUGCGUAGAUAUCAGGAAGAACACCCGUGGCGAAAGCGGCUCUCUGGAACGGUACUGACGCUGAGACGCGAAAGCGUGGGGAGCGAACAGG